rnacentral:rRNA from 1 species
AUUGAACGCUGGCGGCAUGCUUUACACAUGCAAGUCGAACGGUAACAGGCCGCAAGGUGCUGACGAGUGGCGAACGGGUGAGUAAUGCAUCGGAACGUGCCCAGUCGUGGGGGAUAACUACUCGAAAGAGUAGCUAAUACCGCAUACGAUCUAUGGAUGAAAGCGGGGGACCGUAAGGCCUCGCGCGAUUGGAGCGGCCGAUGUCAGAUUAGGUAGUUGGUGGGGUAAAGGCUCACCAAGCCAACGAUCUGUAGCUGGUCUGAGAGGACGACCAGCCACACUGGGACUGAGACACGGCCCAGACUCCUACGGGAGGCAGCAGUGGGGAAUUUUGGACAAUGGGCGCAAGCCUGAUCCACCAAUGCCGCGUGCAGGAAGAAGGCCUUCGGGUUGUAAACUGCUUUUGUACGGAACGAAACGGCUCUGGUUAAUACCCGGGGCUAAUGACGGUACCGUAAGAAUAAGCACCGGCUAACUACGUG